ensembl:lncRNA
GUGGGAUUCAGAGCGCUGCUGGGGAACACUUUGGAAACUUACACUCUAAAAAGCCGAAAGGCCUAAAAGCAGUGAAUGAAUUCUACCAAAGUGAAGAGAGAAACAGGCCCAUUACCAGUACAAGGUUGAAAUGAGGUCUCUCACACGGAAAAGCCCAGGACUACACGGAUUCACUACCAAGUUCUAUCAGACUCUUAAGGUCUAAUAGCAGCACUCCUUGAUUGGUCAAAAGUCAUCAAACUGAGCAGUUACACCCAGCAUACUAUGGAAUAUGGAGACUGAGAACUAGCAAAUUUCGGACCUGUCCAGAGUCAGCCUGUGAAUUUAAAUCAGAGCUGGGGACAAAAGAAAAACCUCACUGUUUCGAAGCUGUGGACACUGGGACAUCACAAGCUCAGGCUUCCCGCUUAAGGAUGGAACUCUGCAUAGAGCGAUGUCAACUUCUUGAUCAACGGAGAAUCCCAUGUUGAAUCUCUCUCGAAGAUAAUUUACUCCAAGUAAAAGAUUUUCCUGUUAAGUAUUACUUAUGAUUGAACAAUAGGUAUCAUUAGGUAAGAAUUUUGAGGAUGAGUAAGUUCCUUGCAAAAAUGAAUACAAAACUUGCCUCUGAUCAGCCUGAUUAGAACACUGACAGGAGGAGGAGGAG